CCUACGGGGGGCAGCAGUGGGGAAUAUUGCGCAAUGGGCGAAAGCCUGACGCAGCGACGCCGCGUGAGGGAUGAAGGUCUUCGGAUCGUAAACCUCUGUCAGCAGGGAAGAACGGUCACUGUGCUAAUCAGCAGUGAAUUGACGGUACCUGCAAAGGAAGCACCGGCUAACUCCGUGCCAGCAGCCGCGGUAAUACGGAGGGUGCGAGCGUUAAUCGGAAUUACUGGGCGUAAAGCGCUCGUAGGCGGUAUGUCAAGUCAAGGGGGAAAUCCCCGCGCUCAACGUGGGAACUGCCUUUGAAACUGGCAAACUGGAGUGUGUGAGAGGAUAGUGGAAGUCCAGGUGUAGGAGUGAAAUCCGUAGAUAUCGGGAGGAACAUCAGUGGCGAAGGCGACUAUCUGGCACAUAACUGACGCUGAGGAGCGAAAGCGUGGGUAGCAAACAGGAUUAGAUACCCUGGUAGUC
rnacentral:rRNA from 1 species